CUUCCACGGCGGGAACUUCUAGCUCGUUAGUCAGGUAUGUUUCCAGUCAGCUAACGAGCCGUGUACAUCUCCUCCUUUUUAGCUAGAAACGUAAAUUAACCCCAUUCAAACAGGAAGUGUAUUGAUAUUGUAAAUAGCUAGUUCGUUUAUGCUUGCUAAAAGGUGUGUUAGUUGGAGAAUAUACAAGCUAGCUACAUAGUUAGCUAGUAGCAAGGAUACCUGGUACUUGGCAACUCAAACAGAUAAAAGUGGAAUGGGUUAGUUAGCUAAGUGUUUGCUUCUUUAGCGAAGUCUCGUUCCUGUUGCAAACGUCACAUUUUAGCGCUUGAUGUUAGUUUUGAUGUAGUUAGCUCUACUCAGAGGGUGGAUAUAAUUUGUGGAACGUUCCAACGGGAAUCUGUUCCAAAAACUGCGUAAAGUACAAGGUUGCCAACAAACAACGUAUACAAAGUAGCAUGAUCAAUUCAACUAGUUGACGAAUAGGCAUCAACUCAACACGUAGCUUAUUCUUAAUGUUUGUCCAUAGGCUACCAGAGUGAGGACAGAUAUUUUUUGGAAUGAACGUGAUGAGUGUAAAACUGAAUGAAAUAGUCAACCACAGAGGAGUACAAGCCCAAGUCUCUAGCCUCUCGUCUGUCUGACCAGUUCCAGACCUCCCUCACCCUGUAUCUUAUUUUGCCACUACAACUUUGUAUGCGUUGUUUGUUGGCAACCUAGUUAUCUAUGACGUUUUUGGAACAGAUUCCUGUUGGAACGUUCCACAAAUUAUACCCACCCCUACUCAGAGCCACAUGUGAGGGGGAUGUGACCAACCGAUGUGAAUUACAUUGUCAUUUGCGGCAACAUUUCUUUCCAGUGUGUAUACCAGUUGGUCAAGGCAGUCGCAGUGGCUGCUCACCCUGUGGAGUACACCAUAGCAGGGGUGAAGAUGCAGUUCCCUUGGGCUAGAACAAAGAUGUCCACCCCGUCAGGAUCCUCUGAGGAAUGGAUUGAGAAAAACUAUCUGUACUGUAGCUGCACUUACUGCAGUUUAAGUCACACUCCCAAUCCCCUAGCUCAGCUCAGUUCCAGACCUCCCUCACCUCCGACCAGGAGAAGGAUGAUGACUUCCAGCCUGAUAGGAAAUGCAUCCACACCCCAACCAUGGAACAGAAGUUAG
rnacentral:lncRNA from 8 species